rnacentral:rRNA from 1 species
CGUGAAAUUGUUGAAAGGGAAACGCUUGAAGUCAGUCGCGCCGUUCAGGACUCAGCCUUGCUUUGCUUGGUGUACUUCCUGUUUGGUGGGUCAGCAUCAAUUUUGGUCGGUGGAUAAAGGCUUAGAGAAGGUGGCAUCUUCGGGUGUGUUAUAGCUCUGGGUCGCAUACAGCGGCUGGGAUUGAGGAACUCAGCACGCCGCAAGGCCGGGGACUUGUCCCACGUACGUGCUUAGGAUGCUGGCAUAAUGGCUUUAAUCGACCCGUCUUGAAACACGG